rnacentral:rRNA from 1 species
UACGUAGGGUGCGAGCGUUGUCCGGAAUUACUGGGCGUAAAGAGCUCGUAGGUGGUUUGUCGCGUUGUUCGUGAAAACUCACAACUCAAUUGUGGGCGUGCGGGCGAUACGGGCAGACUGGAGUACUGCAGGGGAGACUGGAAUUCCUGGUGUAGCGGUGGAAUGCGCAGAUAGUCAGGAAGAACACCCGUGGCUAAGGCGGCUCUCUAGUACGGUACUGACGCUGAGACGCGAAAGCGUGGGGAGCGAACAGG